rnacentral:lncRNA from 1 species
GAUGCCAGGGAUCAAGGCAACCUGUUUUGCUCCAGCAUUCAACACUUGGUGACCCCUCUACAUGUUUCACCUAUUUCGCAGCUGUACCUCGGCUGCCAUCUAUCCAAACAGCAUCGCCAGCUGUUUCUCUUCUUCUCG